rnacentral:rRNA from 1 species
AACGAACGCUGGCGGCAUGCCUAACACAUGCAAGUCGAACGAGACCUUCGGGUCUAGUGGCGCACGGGUGCGUAACGCGUGGGAACCUGCCUUUAGGUUCGGAAUAAUUCAGAGAAAUUUGAGCUAAUACCGGAUGAUGUCUUCGGACCAAAGAUUUAUCGCCUUUAGAUGGGCCCGCGUUGGAUUAGCUAGUUGGUGGGGUAAAGGCCUACCAAGGCGACGAUCCAUAGCUGGUCUGAGAGGAUGAUCAGCCACACUGGGACUGAGACACGGCCCAGACUCCUACGGGAGGCAGCAGUGGAGAAUAUUGGACAAUGGGCGAAAGCCUGAUACAGCAAUGCCGCGUGAGUGAUGAAGGCCUUAGGGUUGUAAAGCUCUUUUACCCGAGAUGAUAAUGACAGUAUCGGGAGAAUAAGCUCCGGCUAACUCCGUG